CUGCAGGGUACUACUGCAAUUACUACUGAUGGGUAAUGAAACCAACUUGCAGAAGAGCUGUGAAAAUGUGACCCCUUGCUUCCUUUGAGCCCUAGCUACAUCUGAAAGUAACAUGAGUUCUGCAUUUUCAUGGAGAGCAGUGAGUGUCUGAGUAGUGCUGUGUUUCAGGACCCCUUCCAAGCUCCAUAAUAUGGGGCUGACUAGAGAGUACUGGAGCUUGGGGACAGACAGUGAGAAGGGCAGACUACAAGAGUGUGGAUCCUCAAGUCCAAAAGCCACUUAAACAAGGAGAACAGUGAGAAGAGCUGUCAGCUGAGGGAAGUUCACAAUGCAUCCCAGCUGCCCCAGGGAACCUGGCCUAAUUAAGCUGCACUAAUGAUACAGCCAGGUGUAAGCACUAGGACAGGAGCCUCCCCCUCUCAGCUCCUGAAGGAGGUGGCAGAUGAGGGAGGAACUGCAAGGAGCCAAUGCCAGCCAGAGGGGAUGGGUUGUCCAAGGACCAGGGAGGUCA